AAACAGGGAGAAAUAAGACUGAAAAUUAAGAAAGGGUUUGCUGAAUUAGCUUUAAUGGAAAACUAUUACAAACUUAAAUGUUACCUCCGGCAUUAAAACAAGAAAGGAAAGCUGCAGUAAUUAUUUCAACCUAAUUAGCGGACCCAAGACUCAGGGCUGAAUAUGAGCGUAAAGUUUGCUAAUUAGUUUGAGGAAAAACAACUCUACUAACUUUAUCUAUUCAAGUUUCAUGUUGUAGCCAUUUUUCAGUUGUCCUACAUUAAAGAAAAGCAAAAGCCAGGACUACUUUCAACUGGCUCAAAGUAAAACAUUUACUGUACACACGUUUGCAAUCAUGUUAAACAAAGACAUUUAGUGUGCUGGUAAGUUAAUUUGUAGUAGGAACUCUCAUUAAUUUAGGCAAUAUCCAUUAGGAACCAGAAGUUUAUUUGGGUUAUUACAUCAGGCUGAGGCAGUGCCAGACUAACACAGCAAAGGGAGAAAAAAAGGUGAACAGAAAGCUGUAAGACUUCAGCGGUAACAGCUGUUUGCUGAAAUAUCCAAGCUGCUGUGUUUCAGCUUUCCAAAGGCGCAUUGAUCAGUAAAAUUUUGGUAACUGUGGAACAUAAAAAAUAUACUAAAUGUCUGCCAGGAGGAAAUCUUGUUUGAGAAUUAGAGAUACAGCAACAAGCAAUUAGUGGAUCCUUGCAUUAUUUUAUGCUGUGACCUCCCAGUCAGAAGCUAAACAUAAUCUUUUAUGAGAUUAUGGAAAUAUAGGUUGAUUGCUGUUACCCAUAGAUCUUGAAAGAAAAUGAGAAUAGGUUAAAAUCUAUAUUGGCAGAUCAGAGUUUUAUGAAAUUGGAGAAAGAAAAUGGGUCACAAAGGUCUGAUCGUUGCAUCUCUGCUAGCCAAAAAAAAAAAAAAAAA